CUCUCCCCUAGCGUAUAUUCCAUUUUCUGCAGUUAACAAGCUCGUAGUUGGAUCUCGGGGUACCUGGUCUAGCCGGUAUAGCUCACGCUAAAACUGGUCUGACCCCCCAACGUGAGGUAUUCGUCUCCGGGUGCACUUCAUUGGGUGCUCGUGAGGGGCCUCGUAGUUACUGUGAAAAAAUUAGAGUGUUCAAAGCAGGCUCAUAAGUUCGGAUAGUCGUGCAUGGAAUAACUGAAUACGUGACUGGCGUUUUUCAGUGGGUCUCGGCGACUGGUCAAAUGAUUAAUAGGGACUGCCGGGGGCAUUGGUAUGGCGGGGUUAGAGGUGAAAUUCUUGGAUCCUCGCCAGACCAACAAAAGCGAAAGCAUUUGCCAAGAAUGUCUUCA
rnacentral:rRNA from 1 species